AAAUUUUAGGCUUAUAGCAAGGGUUUUGCGACGGAUCUAAGAUGUUUUAGACAAUUAUUUUAUUUAUUCAACAUAUAGAAUAUUAACGAGGAUUUAGCGAGGGAUCAUCUACAGAUCUCACAAUUGUUUAUCGACGCACCCCCCCAUUCCUUGUUGAUCCGUUGAAGAUGAAGGCGUUUAGUGAGGGCUUCAACGAUGGAUAGAAAAAUAGUUGAUUUUUGCCAUCAUGGAACGCUUUUUGCGAGAGAACGCCGAUGGAAGCUAUAUUUUGGUACGUGCAUUUUGUUUUUUCUAUCGAUGAUAUCUGGUUGAAAUUGGUGCAACUUGAUUCAAGUUUCACAAAAUUGGUGUAAGUUUCCUUCCCUCCCAAAUUUGCUUUAUCACUCUGGAGUAAGUUUCAUCCUAUCUGUUAACCUAAUUUCAUCCUCUCUGUUCAAACAAAUGACGACACCACUCACCAUUGCAGAUUCCGAUUCCGGUAACCGCCACACCGACCAUAAAAUCAAGAAAAUCUGAAAUUAGUCUUCGUUAACUUUCCGAUUCAAGUAAAUCUCUUGAUUUUCUUUGAUCUAGUUACAUAUUAGUUACGUUUAGUUCAGAUGCACAAAAUAUUCUUUAAGUAUAAUUUCCCCCUUCUUUUCUUUUUCAAUCAUCAUCCAUCUCAAAUCUGAGCAUUUCUUGUACGAAUCACCUUGAAUCAUAGCCAUAUGAAAGGCAUUCUUCUUUAUCAACAAGUUAAAUUCUAAAAACUAGAGUUGUUUCCUUACUUUGGUACCCUAGGUAUGACAUCGAUUGCUAAUUAUCUCUUUGACAGCAUCUAUGUGUACUUCUUCACAAGGUAUCUGCAUCAUGUAAUUAAUACAUUAAAACAUUUAACUAUAUGAUCAAUUGAUCAUUUAAGUGAAACAUACAUGUAAAUAGUAUUAUUCAAAACCUAAGAUACACAUACCUGUAAAUAGUAUUCAUGCUCCCAAACGUCUAUGCUAACAAGAGGAACCAAACUUGCACCAUUUGUAACCAUAGGUCCUGCAUCACAACCAAAUACAUGCUUAAUAAUCUAAUUUGUCAACUAUACUUUGUAACUGUAGAAAAACCUACAUAAUUUACUCAAUAAAAUGCAUAACAGGAUUUGUUAUAAUAUCGUUUAUUACCAUGUGGAAGUAUCUCCUGAGACUGAGACUUAGGAAGGGGUAUUUAAUAUUCCAACCAUAUUUUGACAAUACUAUGUUAUUAAGGUUGUCCAACUUGGAAGAUAAUCUCAAAGAUAUUUUGUUUACUUUUUCGUUUUGUCUAAUUUUUAUCCCAUUUUUAGUAGAGUGUUUGGGAUACCAACUUGACAUUCAAAGUAUGAUUAAAAAUUGAUUAUCGAUCAAUCUAAUGAUUAUUAGGUGUGGUUUUUAAUUGUAAAGGUAGUUUUCUACGUUAAACUUCAUAAUGAUUCAAAAUAACUUGUUUUAGUUGACCAAAAAAUGAUUCCUUGGAUUUGAAAGUGUAGGGCAUGAAGGUUUUGAACACAUUUUUCUAUGUCCCAUGAAAAUUGCAAAAUGAUGUAAAUACCUUCAUCAUAAACAAAACUUGACCAACGUGUAGGUAAAUCGGUAAAAUUCAACUUUGAAAGUCGUCAAAAAUGUAAUGUUUGUGAUUUUCAUGGGGUACAUGGGGUAUAACAUUUUUAUUUUGGCCUAUGGUUAGAGGAGUAAGAUGGUAAUUUUAAUUUGUGGUUCUCAAUUUCAGGCUUUCUAGUCCAGGGUCUAAAGUAGCUAUUGUGUUGGCUAACGUUUCCUUCCUUAUAUACACAAUAUAUAUAAAAAAAUAUCAAAGUGCAUAGAUGGUAAAUUGUUUAUGGAUUCCAUUAUUAUUCGUUGGAAUGGAGUUAAAGAUUUUAUUCUUUUGAGGUUUACCAAUUUUAAGCCAAUUUUAGGUUGCUAAGUUAUAUCAUCAUCCUGGAAACACAAAAGCUUCUUCUGAAAAAAAAGUAUUAUUCCACUCAAAAACAUGUGUUCCUAAGUCAAUCAUAACUUUGAAUGCUGGAAUAACUGUACUCGAUGCAUAGUCCCCUGCAGCUAAUGGUUGUUGAUUCCAAAAAACAGUAACAUCCUACAAGAUUGUCAAAAAGACGUAAAUACCCUCAUCAUUGGAAAAUGGAAAUGACUAUGGAAAACUCAUCUUACCAUGUUUUCUUUAAGUAUAUGAUAAUCACAUAAUGUCAUGUCACUAGAUGAUAAACUAAGUGUCUAAUGAGUUGAUUAAGAAUGGAUUACCAUAUCUUCCAACUUGAAACUAAAAUAAGCACAUAAUACACAUGGUUUGGGUGUCGUUGAGAUUAUCAUGACUGCACUUUCUAAUACAUGCCAAGCCAUCUAAGCCUUCACCAUUGAGUUGAUUAGCUUAGAGAAAAUUAUAUUUAUAACAUUUUCUAUGUUAUUGAGCCAAAUAUAUCUGCAAUUUAUCUAACAAAUCUUUUAUGAGCUAGUCUUUCAUCAACUUCAGCUAGUUCACUCUGUAUGUUUAUGUAGAAGAAGAUAUGUUCCAUGUAAUAGGAAAAACAAAACAACUUUAUGUCCUAAACUAUGGUUUUUAUUCCAACCAUGUUGGUAGAUAAAUCAUUCCCUUUCCUCUAAAUAGUUUUUGGAAGAUAUGGAGUUUAUUUUUCAGGCAUUUUCUUGUCUUAGGAGGUUGUUGGCAUAUUUUGAUUAUGAUAGUUAGUUUUGGAAGUGCUAUUUUUAAUGUUUACAGAGUUUUUCAUUAUAACAUAACGUUUGUUUUUAUGUUUUAUAUGCCUUAAAUUAUGUUUGUGGUAGUUCAUAUUUAAUUUAACAUAUUUCUUGGUUCAUUGAUAAGGAUUUUUUAGGUCCUACUUUAGCCAGAGUUUGAUAGAGAAGUAAUUCUCAAGCCUCUGUUUUCUUCUUUCUGCAACAUGUUUAUCUUUAUUUUCCUGAGUUUUCAUCUUCUACAUCAGACCUGUGUUUGAACCAUGUAAACAUAAUUUUCAAAAUAUAUAUAUAUNUAUAUAUAUAUAUAUGAUUUUUUUUGCUUCAGACUUUAUGCAAGGUUGCACAAUAAAAAGUAUACUCAAGAGUACAUUAAGCUAAAGGCACUUAAAGUUAAGGUAUUUCCAAUUAUAGAGUCAAAAAGUUUUGGAUACUUCAAUGUCCUAGUUUAAUUUUUAUAUUCAUUCAUCUUUCUAUUUUUUUUAUGUGAACCACUGCUAAUAUAUGUCAGAAAAUACAUUCAUUCUUUAAUUUNUACAUUGCUUUUCAAGAAAGGAAGAAUAUUAUGAUUUGCAUCUGUGUCUGAUCCAAUAAGCUUUUUGAAAGGAAUAACUAGUACAAUAACAUCCCAAUAGGUUCAUUUAAUUUUGUCCAUUAUAGUAUCCUAUCAUAACAUCGUAUUUUAUAAAAUUUUCCUAUUAUGACAUUGUACUUACAAAAUCUACCAUGUUGUAAAUUUUCCUAUCAUAACACUAUACUUUAUAAAAAUUUCUUACUCUGAUAUUGUACUUACCUAAAUACCAGAUUAUAACAUCUUAUAUCCAUGUUUUAACUGCAGACUGUGUAUGAAUAUAUACGAGAAGAGAUGUGUGGGUAAAUAGAGGCUAAAGUUGCAAAAAAUGGAAGCCAAACAUCAAAAAAUACAUUAGGAAAAUAUGAUCUUUUUGGAUGCUAUGGUAAAUUUUAAUAUUUGAUGUUUUUGGACGAUUUGAUAAACAUUGAUAUCUAUGUUUUUGGAUGAUUUGAUAGUUUUUGGUAUUGUAAUGUUAAUGUUUGGUUUUGGGUUUUAUAAUAUAUUUUUUUAUUUUUAGUGUUCUUUAAAUGUUAAAUGUUUGCUUUGGGAUUGAAUUAUUAGUUAAUGUUUUUUUAUAUAUUUUUUUAGAUUAAUAAUAAUAAUAAUAAUAAUAAUAAUAAUAAUAAUAAUAACUACAAAAGAUCCCCCACGUUGCGGGGGCCGGAAGGUAGCCCGUGAUGAACCACGGAUAACUUUUUUUAUUGGUUUUUUACAUAUAUACAAAUUUCUACUCCUUACUGAUACAGAUUUCUUCGAAAUAGAAUAGUGCAAAAAGUAAGGACUGUAAUUCUUUGAACUAUAUAUAGACGUGAACCUAAAUUGUCAAAAAUUUGUUACCGGCAUAUAAAAUGUAUAUGUUACAGAUAAUUAAAAUGAAAGUUGAAUGUUAUAGUGCUCUCUAACUCAUGUACAUGGCCAUUCUUGGAGUUAAGCCCCUGAUUCCUUUC
rnacentral:lncRNA from 1 species